CUUCCCGCGGGGCCGCUGCCCGCCGGGUCCCGCACCGCAGCCCCGGGCCCGGGGCCCCGCCGCCGCCCCAGCUGAAGGCCGCGGGACCGGGGGCUGUCACCGCCGACAGCGCUUCUCCGCAGCCCGCACGCCCUCGGGCCCGGCACCCGGGAAAAGCGGCGGGGACUCCCAGCCCUUCCCCCGCGCUCCCGCCCCGGAGCAUCGCCCCGAACCGGCGACAGACCCCGAGGUCCCCAGGCGAGACCCGCACCCCGCGGGUGACCCAGCGGCCCUACCCGCUCCCCGCAGCCCCCAGGCCGGGCUGCCCUUCCCCGCCGCCCCUCCUUCCCGGGCGGCGAUGCUGAAUCACCACGGGUAGCCGCUCCGCCGCCUCUCCCCGCGGACGGCAGCCUGUCCCCCGCAGGGCAGCGGGUGAGGAGAAGCGUCGCCGCAGAGGGCGAGCUGCUCUCUCUCCGUUACCUGACAGGGCGGGGGAGCGAGAGGCCCCCGGGCGCUCCGGUCCUCCCGGGAAGGGCGGCGGUGCCGCGGGGGCAGGCCGGGCCAGGCGGCGCCUCACGGGCGGCGCAGCGGGGCUCUCCCGGUCGGCAGCAUCCGAACCGGCGCCUGCCGAGCCGGGGACUAGCGAGAGGAGGAGCGGGAGGUUACGGCGGGGAGCCGGGAAGAAACCAUUCCCCGCGAGGGGGCACCGCCGGCGGCCGGCCAGGCGGGGCGGGGAGGACGGGCCCUCCCACACAGGGAGAAGCUGGCCUCUCUGAGGGGUUCUGCUGCUCACCCAGUACCUCCUCCAGCCUUUCUCCCCUCUCCUCCCCUGAAAUCCCAGCUGCCGUGGUUCUGCCGCUCUCCAACACCACUGAAACCUUCAGAAGCCUCUGUCUUCAUCUCUCUGUCUCGCCCUGAGACAUACGGAUGACAAAGCACUGCACAGAUGGUAAGUGUUGGCAUUGACUGUAUUACUAAUAUCUGCACGUUAAAGGAUCGUUAUAUAAAACAUUUCACUGCCCCUUCCAACAGGUAGCAGAUAGAAGGGAAACAUCCCUCCCUGUCCUCCAUAGGGAAAGUGCUUGUAACUGGAGGAGAACAACAUAACCCGCAUUUAUCAUUCCUAAGAAAUUAUAGGAAUAAAUUGUUUACCCAGGAGAACCA
rnacentral:lncRNA from 1 species